rnacentral:piRNA from 1 species
UGGGUUUUUGAGACAGAGUCUCUCAUUGA